rnacentral:ncRNA from 1 species
ACAAGAGCAAUGAAAAGGAGAGUAAGCGACAACGCUAUGCCACAGAGAGCCUCAGCAAGCUGAAAAGAGGCGCAGGAGCAACCGCUGAAGAUGGCCUUGGAGCUUCGCACCGAAUAUCCCUUGGAUUAUAAGGCUGCGACGGGCGCGCCCGUUAUUGCGCAGGAGUCCUUUGGACUUUAUGAGGUUUUUUCCGUGAGGAAAAAGCGAAGUAAGGUGGUAACACGGCAAAACGCCCGUCCUUUCA